GCGCCCGUAGCUCAGUGGACAGAGCAGCGGACUUCUAAUCCGAUGGUCGCAGGUUCGACCCCUGCCGGGCGCG
rnacentral:tRNA from 1 species